GAUGAACGCUGGCGGCGUGCCUAAUACAUGCAAGUCGAGCGAACAGACGAGGAGCUUGCUCCUCUGACGUUAGCGGCGGACGGGUGAGUAACACGUGGAUAACCUACCUAUAAGACUGGGAUAACUUCGGGAAACCGGAGCUAAUACCGGAUAAUAUAUUGAACCGCAUGGUUCAAUAGUGAAAGACGGUUUUGCUGUCACUUAUAGAUGGAUCCGCGCCGCAUUAGCUAGUUGGUAAGGUAACGGCUUACCAAGGCGACGAUGCGUAGCCGACCUGAGAGGGUGAUCGGCCACACUGGAACUGAGACACGGUCCAGACUCCUACGGGAGGCAGCAGUAGGGAAUCUUCCGCAAUGGGCGAAAGCCUGACGGAGCAACGCCGCGUGAGUGAUGAAGGUCGUCGGAUCGUAAAACUCUGUUAUUAGGGAAGAACAAAUGUGUAAGUAACUAUGCACGUCUUGACGGUACCUAAUCAGAAAGCCACGGCUAACUACG
rnacentral:rRNA from 1 species